rnacentral:rRNA from 1 species
GAUGAACGCUAGCUACAGGCUUAACACAUGCAAGUCGAGGGGAAACGACAUCGAAAGCUUGCUUUUGAUGGGCGUCGACCGGCGCACGGGUGAGUAACGCGUAUCCAACCUGCCCAUCACUUGGGAAUAACCUUGCGAAAGUAAGACUAAUACCCAAUGACAUCCCACGAAGACAUCUGAAUGGGAUUAAAGAUUUAUCGGUGAUGGAUGGGGAUGCGUCUGAUUAGCUUGUUGGCGGGGUAACGGCCCACCAAGGCAACGAUCAGUAGGGGUUCUGAGAGGAAGGUCCCCCACAUUGGAACUGAGACACGGUCCAAACUCAUACGGGAGGCAGCAGUGAGGAAUAUUGGUCAAUGGGCGAGAGCCUGAACCAGCCAAGUAGCGUGCAGGAUGACGGCGCUAUGGGUUGUAAACUGCUUUUAUAAGGGAAUAAAGUGGGUCUCGUGAGACUUUUUGCAUGUACCUUAUGAAUAAGGACCGGCUAAUUCCGUG